rnacentral:rRNA from 1 species
AAGCGGAGGAAAAGAAACCAACAGGGAUUGCCUCAGUAACGGCGAGUGAAGCGGCAAGAGCUCAACUUUGGAAUCGCUCCGGCGAGUUGUAGUCUGGAGGCCGCCAGCCCCGGCUCCGUGUGCGCGGCUAAGUCCUCUGGAACGAGGCGCCAGCGAGGGUGACAGCCCCGUGGCCGCAAGCAGCAGGAGUCGCUUUGGCGAGCCGACGAGUCGAGUUGUUUGGGAAUGCAGCUCUAAGUGGGUGGUAAAUUCCAUCUAAAGCUAAAUACCGGCGAGAGACCGAUAGCGAACAAGUACAGUAAUGGAAAGAUGAAAAGCACUUUGAAAAGAGAGUGAAACAGUACGUGAAAUUGUUGAAAGGGAAGGGCUUGCAGGUAGACUACUGUCAGCAUCGGGUGGAGGGGAGCGAUAACGACCUUUUAAUGUAGCAACGCGCUCUGCGGGUUGUAUUAUAGAAUUGGUUAAUAGCUCCACCCCCGCCCGAGGAUCGCCUAUUGAAGGAUGCUGGCGCAAUGGCUGCAAGCCACCCGUCUUGAA